GGCCUCGUGGCCUAAUGGCUAGGGCGCUAGAUUUCGGUGAUCAAUCAUUGAAACCUCUAGAGAUUGUCGGUUCGAGUCCGGCCGAGGUCG